GAUGAAGAACGUAGCGAAAUGCGAUAAGUAAUGUGAAUUGCAGAAUUCAGUGAAUCAUCGAAUCUUUGAACGCACAUUGCGCCCCUUGGUAUUCCGAGGGGCAUGCCUGUUCGAGCGUCAUUAUAACCCCUCAAGCUCAGCUUGGUGUUGGGGCCUGCUGCACUGGCAGCCCUUAAAAUCAGUGGCGGCGCCAUCUGGCUCUAAGCGUAGUAAUUCUUCUCGCUAUGGAGUCCUGGUGGAUGCUUGCCAUCAACCCCCAAUUUUUCUAUGGUUGACCUCGGAUCAGGUAGGGAUACCCGCUGAACUUAAGCAUACCAAUAAGCGGAGA
rnacentral:misc_RNA from 1 species